CUCGUUAAAAGACGUGAGAUAUCUGGAAAAAAAUUAGACCUUUUGUGGGAAAAAAAAAAAAAGCAACUGACCAAUAAGCUACCUAGAAAGCAUCCAGCCUGGAUCUCAGCUGCAAAAUUUGAUGACACCAUGGGACCUGAUCAAUGGACAGCCAGGGCAUAUUUUAUAUAGCCCCUGCCUGUUUGAACCUUUAUCGUCCACUGGCAUCACUCAGUGCUGAAUGUCAUCAGAGGACCCAAGGUACAAGGAUUAUCAGCUCUGUUUUAGGGACUGGAAUGAAAUUUGGGCUGAUGUCUGUCUCUACCUGCUGGGGUCAUUUUGCUGCAGUGGUGGAAGUCAUGUGCAGGUUUCUGGGUGGGGCACUUCAGCCAAUCACAUUUAUUUGAGAUGAUCUCUCAGACAUUUGAACUUGACCCUGUUUCCUGCCAAUAACACCUGGCAAGAGAGCUAGGACUUUUCUCCUCUAUGAGACUUGAAACUGGUGCUAAUGACCCUCACUUACAUCCUCUCUGUGAACCUGCAGCAACUUGCUCACUGACGUUUCUGUCAAGAUGUGUUUAUUAUUGAAUAUUGCUUCCUUUGGAAGGGUAAGACACACUUUUUCUAUCAUCUCCAUUCUUCAUGGGAAGUUUCUUUCAAGAGCUAUCCUUAUUACUGGCUCAGAACUCCAUCUCAGUCAGAAGCUUAAAUUUUGUCAAUUAUUCAUGUCUUUCCUCCACACUUUGAAUACUAGUAAAGCUCUCUGCCUUAUUUGUUGUUUCUCUUCUUAUUUCUGACUUCUGACAGGAUAAGAAAUUCCAGGUGUUUUCUGAGGCUCUUUCUGUCAACAUCUUAAUGAUCUGGGAUGUUGUCACCUUUGUGAGCAGAUUAUUCAUAUAGAUGAGAGGCUGUCAUGGCCUGUUUUGAGACUGCAGUCAGGACUGCACCCAUGAUUGGAGUGAAUGCCACAAGUGCUUCAGCUAAGUGGGUGGUAACGCUGAGAAAUUUCACCUUCCCUGUCAUCUGAUGAGCCUUCAUGUGGUGCUCUUUUCAAUUUCAUGAGAUCCUUGGCCAUCCAGGAGCAUCCAGGAAUGGUGCUGCACUUGGCAGUGUUCUUAUGAUUUUUAUUGGUAGGAAGAACUUCCAUUACCUCUCUGGGGUAAAUAUGAAGCCUUCUUACGGGCUCACAUUGUGUCAAUAUACUUGUGUGCAAUCACUAUGAAAUCCAAGAACAGCUUAUUUCAAAGUAAGACAUUUUCUUCAAAGUAUGCAUAUAGAUUUUCUGAUUGCAGGGGACAUAAAGAAUGACAAAGAAUAACUUUUUUUUUUUCACGACAAAAGAGCGGAAGGGAAAAUGAUGCAGAAAGAAAAAUUACAUGGUCAAGAAGCAGAUAUUUUCCCUACUUUCUUCCAUGGCAUGACUGUAUUUGUGCACUACAUACAUUUGCUACAGAACAUGCUGCAGACAAAAGGAAUCGAAACCACAACUAGAGAAUUGGAUUUCCCCUGCUUUCUCCAAAAUAAAUAUUUGUUUGCGACAAAAGCAGCCGGAAGAAUGAGACGUACCUUUGACACUACAGGGUCGUCUGUUUGUGCCAGCUGCAGUAGAGUUCUCAUUUUCAGCUGUUACCUGGCAUGAAUUUGAACAGAAGAACCUCCCCUGUCAUCAGAAAGCCAGAAAAAUCCAUUCAGAUUAGGAGACGGAAGGAGAUUUAGAGAGUCUCUCUUGGAUCACGCUGGUGCCUUCACAAAAGCCAUAUUUUUAUUAUGCCCUUACAUAACCUGUCCCCUGUUUCAAAUACAGCUUGAAAAAAACCUCCUUAGUACAAGUACAUGACCAGCUGAGUAAAUAAAAAAACCUGUUGAACUUGUGGAUUGUACUUAGUGAGGCCCUAACUAUUUUGAUACAUGUGCCUGCAUAGCAAUACGUUUUGGAGAGAAAUAGUGAUAUUGAGACACAUGAAAACAGUUGGUAAAAGCUACAAGUUAACCUGAAAACAUAUUCCUGGUAACACAGUUAAAGGAAAGAGAGAGGUACUCAAAGGUAAACUCAGGUCAACUGGCAUCUUCAAAAACAAGACUUGGAUGACUUAUAAAACAAAGUCAUAUGCAAAGAGGGAGCAAGUCACAGAAACACCAAAUUUACCACAGUGUCAUGAGAGUGGAAAGGAGGAAAAAAAAUGACAAAAAAGAACUCAGCAGUAAAAUGAAUAUAUUCAUGCAGUGUCAGUCUCUCCAGACAAGAAAUGGUGCCAAGCAGAACCGCAUCAGCGUGUGGCCGCUUCUUGCACUGACACUAAAAACAUCUGUUGAGGUACAGCGUUUAUACUGUCUGCCAAACAAGAGUUUUUUAAUCUUAAAACAUAUGCUGGAAAUAGGAAAAUUUGGACAAGAACAAAAAGAAAAAAGAGGGGUGGGUGGCCAAUAAAUUAAAAGUGAGAAGUGGGGAAGGACAGAUUGGAGACAAUGUUUUCCACAUAGUGCAUCACAGUUAAUUCAAGUCAUUUCAGGUCACCCAGGAAAGGAAAGCUCAUGAAGGAAUUCACAGAUUGCUCAGAGAACUUGAAAGAAACAAAUGGUGUUCUUCACAUCAGACUUCAUCUUUCAAACAUUGGGUUUUGAACAGUUAACCAUAAAACUCAGGUUUUAACAAAAGUUUGGGAAUGCAUCGAAUUUGAGAUGCAAGAACUGAUGCUGACAGCAACACUCUUAUUUUUCAGGCAUGCAUAUCUCACAUUUUUUGCAGAAAGCAUGUAUUUAAACCCCCCAGCCGAGCAACGGCCUAAUAUUGGCUCUUCAGAAAUUGUGCCUCCAGCCUAUUUGAUUAAACAUUUAUGCAAACAAAUUUUAGAUACAUACAAUGAGUAAAUUAUUUUAAGAUUAUCACCUUCACAUUUAUUUCUCUAGUUGAAGAAGCUAGAGUACAGAAUUCAGAAAUAUUUCAGUGAGAAUAAUUUUCAGAUAUGACCAAAGAAGUUAUUCAACUAUUUCUAGGAUAUUUUUCAAAUAAAGUCCCUAAAUAUUCCUUAUGAUAAAAUACUCUCAUAGAAGGCAGCUUAUUUUCAUUUCUGAAAUUAACUACAUAUUUUCAAGUACAUUAUUUGGUAAAGUUAUCUAAAUGAUCUAUUUCCUGACUACCAUAAGCAUGUAUGAAUAGAAGAUUUGAUUUUGUGUCACUGACCCUUUGACUUUCAUUCAAUUUCAUUCAAAUGAGUGUCUCUUUGGUACCAUCUCGGGUUUACAGUAUGUGGUACAUGUCUAAAGACAGAAACAGAUAAUGAACCUGCUUUAAUACAAUUUGUCCACUCUAAUAAUUCCAUGUGAAUUGUGCUUUUAGAAGAGAAAAUGUGCCUAGAGUAAAAUGCAGGCCCCUAGAAAUCAAAGAGGAAACUCCCACUUUCUUCAACAGAUUUGAGAUUUCAUCUCUAGAACUCUUGACUUUCAUGUACAAAAGAUUUAUGCUUAAUGAAUCACUGGAUAUGGUAAAUUGCAUGUUUUCAAAAUCUGCGUCAAAUUAAUUGUGCUGCAUAUCUUUCAAGAUAUGCUUUAUUUUAUUUAUGUUCCCUCUAUUAAAUGUUUUAUUUUUUAAAAACACCAUAGAAAUGAAUAGAUUAACGGAUUAUGCACACCAUGGCUUACAGAACUUUUUGUCCUUCUAAUAUGGCAAAUGGGACAAUUUAGGCUUUGUAUUGAAGUAGAUUAUACCCACUGCAGACAAUUUAUUUCUGGGAUAUAAAACAUGUUGGACAAUAUGAAAAUCAAAUUCUAGAAUGAGGUGUUGCAAUGAAAUGGGAGAUGUUUUCUAAGGGCAGCACUCAGAGCUGCAUAAUUUUCUGCCCUAUUUGAUAACUUUUGGCUUUGACUGAGUUCUUUAUGUAGCUGAGUUUUAGUGGACAUUUAUAUCCUGGUAAAAAUACAGAGAUUUUGUGUGCCCAUAUAACAGU